rnacentral:misc_RNA from 1 species
GAAAAAUCGAGUUUGGUGUUCAAUUUCAGGUAUCUUAUUUCAUAUUCUUACCUCAACUUUUCAGUUUUUUUCUUUUAAAUUUUAUAUAAUGAUCGAGCGAGAGCGAAAGAGAAUUCUGAUUAUCUGAAUUUUGUGUGUUAUGAUUUAUUGUUUCAUUACAUUGUAUCUAUCAGCCUAUCGAAUAUGAGAUUUUAGUUCAAUUGGAAUAGAUUUGUAUAUCAUUUUAGUGUUCUGUGAUGACAACUUUGAGCAUUCCUGUUAAUUUUCUUCGUUUGGCCUGAGAAAAUGAAGGAAACAAAUGGAAUAUACAAUUCUUGCAUUUCUUUUUUGUUUUUGGCUUAAUUUUCUAAAUAAAAUUGAUAUAAUUAGUGGUUAGCA